rnacentral:lncRNA from 1 species
CACAGCCACCACAUUCCACCUUUCAGUGAAUCUGCAUUCCUGCACAUUGUUUAGAAACCAUCGUGGGGAUAGCACAGCGAUUUCUGCAGCAAAUAACACGGAUCCUCAUCCACGACAGACUUGCAUAAUCGUUUGCAUAGACCCCGUGAGCCGAAGCAUUUGGAGAAAUAUUGUUUAGUCCAGCAACGUGGUAACAGUCACUGCAUAAAUCAGUGAGUGAGUGGUUGUGAGGUUUUGGAGGUAGAAGUAAGCAGAAGAGACCCAUGGCCUCUUUUUAGAAGAAAUUACCUGAAUUCAAUCAGAAGUCAUUGCAGUGACCCAAAUGAACCCACUUCUUGCUCAGGCCUGCUACAUUAACCACAUUACUUUUUGGCCCUAGCAGCAAGGCUGGUUAGGGCCUAACUUAAAUCCCUUCCACAUUGUAAUUCUCUGCGAAGUGGAAUAAAUAGCACAUGGGCUCCGUCACCUGCUAAACAUAUGUCAUGGGGUGUAAAUUCAUUUAUUUGAACCUUAAUAUUAAAGGAGUUUCUUGAUUUUAAAUCAUCCGAUACCAAAGUAUGACUUCAAUCCAAAGCAGACAUGCCCUGGAGAGUUAAGAGACCUUUUCAAAGACAAAGGAGGCUUCUAACCUGCUCACAAUUAGCCAUUACAUGCUACUAGGGGUUGUUUAAUUGGGACUGCCACUCUCAAUUAACCAGCGACAAGUGAAUAGAAGAAUGAGUAAUCAGAAUUAGGUACACAUGUUACCAAUUAUGUCCAUUAGGGAGCGUAAUGAAAUUGCAUGUUUUGCUUUGCUUUUCCUUUCUUCUCUAGCUCCAAGAAGUUAUAUGAAAAAAAGUAGUGACGGGACCGAGCUCAAGCAUAAACUUUUUCCUUCUAAGUGUAAGAAAACCACGUACAUCGAAGCUCCUGCAGUUCUUCAUCAUUUGCUCGGCAGUGGAGCUGAUCAGAAUUCCCUCCGAUGCUCUUCAAGAUGUCCAGGUUUUCUGAAAGCCAUACAGAAAUAGAAAAGAUUUAAAUGUUCCUCUUAUGAAAAGGAUGCUGCCCAUCUAUAAAGGUAUUGUUCACAGUUAUUAUAGAAAAAUGUUAAACAAUCUAAACAUUUAGUAAUGAAAGACUACUUCCAUUAGUUAAAUAGUUAAAUACAAUAAACUAUUGUAUUUUCACA